GUUGCAAGCAAGUGUUUCGUAUCACUAGUAAUUAUUAUUUAUUUAUUUUUUUUAUAUAUUUUUGAUUGAUAAGAUUUCAUCAAAAAUGAGGGGUAGUAUUUAGGCAAGCCACAGCAACAUUGAGCCUUGGCCAAACCUGGCGCAAGUAGUAACACCAAUCAGGAGAUUCUCACGCUUGUCCAUAGGGUUUUAUCAUCUUCCAUAAAAGCAAGCAAACGUUUAUAGCAUAUGUAGUUCAGUCUCAACAGCUGUUUCUGUCACACACAGAAUGAGUGCAACUGCUGAAUAAGCUGAUAGCAGUUAUCCCACCACAGAUCCUGUUAUCAGCUUGUUGACAGCCCCAUUCACAAUUCGGUGAAAAUAUCUGUGUAAAUUAUUAAAGGACCACUCUAGGCACCC